AUUGAACGCUGGCGGCAGGCUUAACACAUGCAAGUCGAGCGGGGGAGGUUGCUUCGGUAACUGACCUAGCGGUGGACGGGUGAGUAAUGCUUAGGAAUCUGCCUAUUAGUGGGGGACAACAUUCCGAAAGGGAUGCUAAUACCGCAUACGCCCUACGGGGGAAAGCAGGGGAUCUUCGGACCUUGCGCUAACAGAUGAGCCCAAGUCGGAUUAGCUAGUUGGUGGGGUCAAGGCCUACCAAGGCGACGAUCUGUAGCGGGUCUGAGAGGAUGAUCCGCCACACUGGGACUGAGACACGGCCCAGACUCCUACGGGAGGCAGCAGUGGGGAAAAUUGGACAAUGGGCGGAAGCCUGAUCCAGCCAUGCCGCGUGUGUGAAGAAGGCCUUUUGGUUGUAAAGCACUUUAAGCGAGGAGGAGGCUCUUAAGGUUAAUACCCUUGAUGAGUGGACGUUACUCGCAGAAUAAGCACCGGCUAACUCUGUGCCAGCCGCCGCAGUAACAC
rnacentral:rRNA from 1 species